AUUGAACGCUGGCGGCAGGCCUAACACAUGCAAGUCGAACGAGUGGCGGACGGGUGAGAAAUGUCUGGGAAACUGCCUGAUGGAGGGGGAUAACUACUGGAAACGGUAGCUAAUACCGCAUACUAUCAGAUGUUCCCAGAGGGGAUUAGCUUGUGGGUGGGGUAACGGCUCACCAAGGCGACGAUCCCUAGAUGGUCUGAGAGGAUGGCCAGACACACUGGAACUGAGACACGGUCCAGACGCCGAAGGGAGGCAGCAGUGGGGAAUAUUGCACAAUGGGCGCAAACCUGAUGCAGCCAUGCCGAGUGUAUGAAGAAGGCCGUCGGGUUGUAGAGUACUUUCAGCGGGGAGGCGUUACCCGCAGAAGAAGCACCGGCUAACUCCGUGCCAGCAGCCGCGGUAAUUC
rnacentral:rRNA from 1 species